AUGAACGCUAGCUACAGGCUUAACACAUGCAAGUCGAGGGGCAGCAUGGUCUUAGCUUGCUAAGGCCGAUGGCGACCGGCGCACGGGUGAGUAACACGUAUCCAACCUGCCGUCUACUCUUGGACAGCCUUCUGAAAGGAAGAUUAAUACAAGAUGGCAUCAUGAGUCCGCAUGUUCACAUGAUUAAAGGUAUUCCGGUAGACGAUGGGGAUGCGUUCCAUUAGAUAGUAGGCGGGGUAACGGCCCACCUAGUCUUCGAUGGAUAGGGGUUCUGAGAGGAAGGUCCCCCACAUUGGAACUGAGACACGGUCCAAACUCCUACGGGAGGCAGCAGUGAGGAAUAUUGGUCAAUGGGCGAGAGCCUGAACCAGCCAAGUAGCGUGAAGGAUGACUGCCCUAUGGGUUGUAAACUUCUUUUAUAAAGGAAUAAAGUCGGGUAUGGAUACCCGUUUGCAUGUACUUUAUGAAUAAGGAUCGGCUAACUCCGUGCCAGCAGCCGCGGUAAUACGGAGGAUUCGAGCGUUAUCCGGAUUUAUUGGGUUUAAAGGGAGCGUAGAUGGAUGUUUAAGUCAGUUGUGAAAGUUUGCGGCUCAACCGUAAAAUUGCAGUUGAUACUGGAUAUCUUGAGUGCAGUUGAGGCAGGCGGAAUUCGUGGUGUAGCGGUGAAAUGCUUAGAUAUCACGAAGAACUCCGAUUGCGAAGGCAGCCUGCUAAGCUGCAACUGACAUUGAGGCUCGAAAGUGUGGGUAUCAAACAGGAUUAGAUACCCUGGUAGUCCACACGGUAAACGAUGAAUACUCGCUGUUUGCGAUAUACGGCAAGCGGCCAAGCGAAAGCGUUAAGUAUUCCACCUGGGGAGUACGCCGGCAACGGUGAAACUCAAAGGAAUUGACGGGGGCCCGCACGAGCGGAGGAACAUGUGGUUUAAUUCGAUGAUACGCGAGGAACCUUACCCGGGCUUAAAUUGCAGAUGAAUUACGGUGAAAGCCGUAAGCCGCAAGGCAUCUGUGAAGGUGCUGCAUGGUUGUCGUCAGCUCGUGCCGUGAGGUGUCGGCUUAAGUGCCAUAACGAGCGCAACCCUUGUUGUCAGUUACUAACAGGUUCUGCUGAGGACUCUGACAAGACUGCCAUCGUAAGAUGUGAGGAAGGUGGGGAUGACGUCAAAUCAGCACGGCCCUUACGUCCGGGGCUACACACGUGUUACAAUGGGGGGUACAGAGGGCCGCUACCACGCGAGUGGAUGCCAAUCCCAAAAACCUCUCUCAGUUCGGACUGGAGUCUGCAACCCGACUCCACGAAGCUGGAUUCGCUAGUAAUCGCGCAUCAGCCACGGCGCGGUGAAUACGUUCCCGGGCCUUGUACACACCGCCCGUCAAGCCAUGGGAGCCGGGGGUACCUGAAGUGCGUAACCGCGAGGAGCGCCCUAGGGUAAAACUGGUGACUGGGGCU
rnacentral:rRNA from 1 species